rnacentral:rRNA from 1 species
GUGGAUUAGAUACCCUGGUAGUCCACGCCGUAAACGAUGGGUACUAGGUGUAGGGGGUAUCGACUCCCUCUGUGCCGCAGUUAACACAAUAAGUACCCCGCCUGGGGAGUACGGUCGCAAGAUUAAAACUCAAAGGAAUUGACGGGGGCCCGCACAAGCAGCGGAGCAUGUGGUUUAAUUCGAAGCAACGCGAAGAACCUUACCUAGACUUGACAUCUCCUGAAUACUCUAGAGAUAGAGGAAGCCCUUCGGGGCAGGAAGACAGGUGGUGCAUGGCUGUCGUCAACU